AUCCAAUUUGGUGCUAUUCAUGCA
rnacentral:siRNA from 1 species